CCCUGUAUUCGAAAGUGAUCGUGGGCUGCCCAUGCCCUGGUCAUUGAUAGUGCAGGGAGAGAAAUCGCUGAAAGCACUUCCCCGUGUUUGGAGGGUCCACUCCUGUCCCUUCCAAACUCUGGAGUUUUCUCACA
ensembl:snoRNA SNORA71 Small nucleolar RNA SNORA71